CACGGCUGAGCUAAAGGGCAGGCGGUGAACGCAGCACACUCCCUGUUCGCCGACUGAAAUGAGACGGGAAGAGUCUACAUAGACCAGAAUGCCCUGAAAAAGAACGAGUGAAGAGAGAGAGAGUACAUCUUUGUAACAUAUUUGCCCAAAAGCUGCUCGGGCUCAUUUCCUCGUUAGCCCCUGGUCCCUGCCCUGGCCUGAAGUCAUCGCUCAGUUAGGCAGCUGCCAGGCCGGCCCUGAGGGUCCCCAGUGUGUUUUCCAGCAUUUCCCCUUGUCUCUCUGGCCAACUAAGUUUAUGCAGAGGACAAAUGUGAGUAACACAGCGUCCCAACCACCUUCCCCUGAGGAUCACGGGUGUCGUGACCCUGCAGCAGGUACCACUGAUGUCAUUGCCCAGUCGCUGUCCCACUUUCCCAGAUUUCCAUCCAC
ensembl:lncRNA